UUAUUAAUAUCAGAAGGGAUGAUGGGUGGCCGAUGAUUAACUAAUUCUAUUUUCAUAAUUUGAAAUCGCAUAUUUCAAAUCAUACAAAAUAGGAUUAGUCUGCCCAUUUUCUAUAUAUUUUAGAGCUAUCGUGAAAAUAGCUCUUAUUUGAUAAUGCACAGGUACGACUAAUCCUUCCAUAUGAACUGGGAGGAUUUUUUU
rfam:Bacillus sp. FJAT-22058 super1, whole genome shotgun sequence.